rnacentral:rRNA from 1 species
AUACGGAGGAUGCAAGCGUUAUCCGGAUUUAUUGGGUUUAAAGGGUGCGUAGGCUGUUGCGUAAGUCAGGGGUGAAAGACCGGGGCCCCACUCCGGAAGUGCCCUUGAUACUGUGCAGCUGGAGUGCGGAUGCCGGUGGAGGAAUGGGCAGUGUAGCGGUGAAAUGCAUAGAUAUUGCCCAGAACACCGAUUGCGAAGGCAUCUCACGAAUCCGCAACUGACGCUGAGGCACGAAAGCGUGGGGAUCAAACAGGAUUAGAUACCCUGGUAGUCCACGCAGUAAACGAUGAUGACUAACCGUCGGCGAUAGACAGUCGGUGGCCAAGCGAAAGCGAUAAGUCAUCCACCUGGGGAGUACGUUCGCAAGAAUGAAACUCAAAGGAAUUGGCGGGG